ACUGUACAUUUCAAAUUUUUUAUUCAGUUAGGAUGGGCGAGAAUGUAAGGACAUUGUGAACCUACUUUGAAAUGUUUAUCAUGUUGAUAUGCUUUUUGUUGUGCUGUCAGUUGUUAUGCUGUCAGAUGGGUGCAGCAAGUUUGACUGCAACGAAAUAUCGUAACUAGGCUGCGUACUUUUCAAGCUUACCGAAGACACCACCCAAUAAUGCGACACCUAGUGUUUGAACUAGUAAACCGGAUGGAAUAUUCCAAUAUUCAAAUUUAUUACGCAGUAACAUGCCAAAUUGCGUCGUAGAGAAUAAAUCGGUGCAGUAUUGUUUAAGAAUAGCGAGAAAUACCUAAUGCAAUAAAAUCUCUCUCUUAAAUCGAACAAUAGACGGGAUUAGCGCUGCAGCGAUUAGGAUCUGCCCAAUCUAACUCGCGUCGGGUUGAUCAUAAUUGUGGAGUGCGUACAACUGAACAGUCCAACUUUCGAAGUGACUUUAAAGUUUGAUUAAAGCUAAUUCUUAUUGUGUAACACUAAACUCGAAUGAUUCAAUUAAUCGAGUGUGAUAAAAGUUUUUAGAGAAAAUCCCACCAUUGGGAUAGUUUGUGAUAAUUCGUGCUUUGGAUUAGUGAACAUUCCUAAAUUCAGGAGAUCGAGCCCAGCCAACGUGGGCGGUUUGUGCGGAGUGACUACGGUCCAACGGUUGCGGAAGCCACGUGCGUCGUCGUUUGAAUUUCGCACCGACGCGACGCCAAGGGGACGCCUAUCGAAGCCCACAUCUCGUCGCAUAGCUGUUUCGACAGUCGUGCAACAAAACCCGCACGUGUGACACGACUCGCAAGUCCAUCAGUCGCGUGGUGUCAGCCGUGACAUUUUUAACGGAAACACUCCACAGUGCUAGGGGAUAUCUGUACCCCGAAAGAAGACACCAGCGUGCGAGUCCUGUGGGUGGCGUAUAUUGUUGGCUCGAAACUGCCGCAUUGAGGGUUCGCUACGUAGUCUGUGCCAAGUCCAAGGACAUCCGACGUGGGAUCGCCGGAAGAAGACAAGGUCAGAUCUGUCCUUUGCUCGAAAACUGUUUCUAGAAACAAAUCCUGUUUAUUAUAAUUGAAUUGAGAACGUGACGUCACACACGGUUAGGGAACUAGGCUUUCCUUAAUUUAAUAAAUCAAUUUCUACUUAUUGCACGGUCAUUACUCGAAAAAUUGAUCGCUUCUAUUAUUUCGCGUGCGUAAAUUGAAUAAAACGAAUAAAAUUACUUCUAGUUUAGACCACACUCCACUUUGCUUUCGUCACGGAUUUUUUUUUAUUAGAUUUAAGGUUGAAAUUUUCCUAUUAGUUGCUAAGCUUUUUUCUUAUUGUUUGAUUUUUGAGGUUUGUAUAUAUUUUUCUUAGUUUUUAUGUUCAAUUUGAAGUUGGUAAGUACUGAAUUGGUUUAUUGGCUACGACGUUUUGGUGUUGUUGAAGUGCGACUUCGGUUCUGGUGGAACUUAAACCUGCCCUGAGUUGGCAGUCUCAUCCGGGUAAAACUUAGCAGAGCUAACGGUCCUUCUUUAGAGGAGGUGGCGCUUAAGCCGCUAGCUUUUGGAACAGGACGGAACGUUACAAUUGAACACAAUUCUUCACAUUUCUUUUCACAAUCAAUAAAUUAUUUCAAAACUACACAGAACAAACACUCGCACCCGCGGAAGUACCAUCCGGAUGGCGUAGCACCGGUCAAACCGUCGGCGAAAUCGCGAAAAAGAAAAAAAAACUAACAAACGCGAUCGAAAUGUGACGAGCAGCUUAGAAAACGUCUGCACGCGGCAAAGCCUACUGCGCUCUCCUAGCAUAUUUAACAAAUUCAUUUAGCUUUUAUAGUUAAGAAUACUUACUAAGUUAACGUUUAAACUAGUUUACAAACGCUUUUGGAGUACCCGAAACUACAGAUGAUCGCGUGUAGUUCACCUAAACUAAAAUAUCAAUUUUUAGGGGUUUAUUUGAACAUUUUACCUUUAAAUUAAAGAGCAAUAGCUUACUAUAUUACUGCAUGUAAAUGACCACUAAAUUUUACUUAUUUUAUUAGUUUAAACAAUAGAAAUUCAAUGAUUUUAAUAACCUUUAAUAGCAGCUUC